GAAACGACUGCUAAGACUGGAUAGGAGAUAAGAAGGCAUCUUUUUAUUUUUAAAAGACCUAGCAAUAGGUAUGCUUAGGGAAGAGCUUGCGUCACAUUAGUUAGUUGGUGGGGUAAUGGCCUACCAAGACGAUGAUGUGUAGCCGGGCUGAGAGGUCGAACGGCCACAUUGGGACUGAGACACGGCCCAAACUCCUACGGGAGGCAGCAGUAAGGAAUUUUCGGCAAUGGAGGAAACUCUGACCGAGCAAUGCCGCGUGAACGAUGAAGUAUUUUGGUACGUAAAGUUCUUUUAUUAGGGAAGAAAAGAUGGUGGAAAAACCAUUAUGACGGUACCUAAUGAAUAAGCCCCGGCUAACUAUGUGCCAGCAGCCGCGGUAAUACAUAGGGGGCAAGCGUUAUCCGGAAUUAUUGGGCGUAAAGGGUGCGUAGGCGGUUAAAUAAGUUUAUGGUCUAAGUGCAACACUCAACGUUGUGAUGCUAUAAAAACUGUUUAGCUAGAGUUGGAUAGAGGCAAGUGGAAUUCCGUGUGUAGUGGUAAAAUGCGUAAAUAUACGGAGGAACACCAGAAGCGAAGGCGGCUUGCUGGGUCUUAACUGACGCUGAGGCACGAAAGCGUGGGGAGCAAACAGGAUUAGAUACCCUGGUAGUCCACGCCCUAAACGAUGAGUACUAAACGUUGGAUAAAACCAGUGUUGAAGUUAACACAUUAAGUACUCCGCCUGAGUAGUACGUACGCAAGUAUGAAACUUAAAGGAAUUGACGGGACUCCGCACAAGCGGUGGAUCAUGUUGUUUAAUUCGAAGGUACCCGAAAAACCUCACCAGGUCUUGACAUGCUUUUGCAAAGCUGUAGAAAUACAGUGGAGGUUAUCAGAAGCACAGGUGGUGCAUGGUUGUCGUCAGCUCGUGUCGUGAGAUGUUGGGUUAAGUCCCGCAACGAGCGCAACCCUUGUUGUUAAUUGCCAUCAUUAAGUUGGGGACUUUAGCAAGACUGCCAAUGAUAAAUUGGAGGAAGGUGGGGACGACGUCAAAUCAUCAUGCCCCUUAUGACCUGGGCUACAAACGUGAUACAAUGGCUGUUACAAAGGGUAGCUAAAGCGUAAGCUUCUGGCGAAUCUCAAAAAAGCAGUCUCAGUUCGGAUUGAAGUCUGCAACUCGACUUCAUGAAGUUGGAAUCGCUAGUAAUCGCGAAUCAGCAUGUCGCGGUGAAUACGUUCACGGGGUUUGUACACACCGCCCGUCA
rnacentral:rRNA from 1 species